rnacentral:RNase_P_RNA from 1 species
UGGGUCGACCAGGCGGUCGCGUUGGACGAUGCGCAAGCAGCUGUCCACCGAGGAACGUCCGGGCUCCACAGGGCAGGGUGGUGGGUAACGCCCACUCGGGGUGACCCGCAGGCCAGUGCCACAGAAAAGAGACCGCUGCUCGUCACGGGCUUCGGUCCGCGGGGGGCAGUAAGGGUGAAAAGGUGGUGUAAGAGACCACCAGCGUGCCGGGUGACCGGCGCGGCUCGGUAAACCCCACCCGGAGCAAGGCCAGACAGUGCGCGAUCGAGGGCUGCUCGCCCGAGUGCACGGGUAGGCCGCUGGAGGGCGUCGGCAACGGCGUCCGUAGAUGGAUGACCGCUACUCGCGUGCCGGCAACGGCGCGCGAUGACAGAACCCGGCGUAUCGGUCGACCCAUCCC